rnacentral:lncRNA from 1 species
UCUGUCAGGGGUUUGGUCUCUGGGUCUCUGACCCCCUGGAUUGUUGAGACGCCUCGCACUGUUCCCUCCCAUCUUGCCCGACCGCCCCCCACCAGCUCCCAGGCCCAGUAUGUCUCUGUCCCACCCCAUCGUCUCUAUAGGCCCUGUCCUGCAGUGGGUUCUGUCCCUCCCUGCAGCUUGGUAAGGUUGUUGAGGCUUCAAUACACACUCCAGACCACAUCCCUCUCCCUCCCAACUCUGGGACACUCUCUGCACCUCUGAAAAGAAACUCCCAGCCCUUCUUGUGCCUCUCCCUUCCUCUGGGCACCCCUUGUUCCUUAUCCAUCCUGGCUGGCCUGUGGCCUGUACUUCUGAUCUGCACACAGGUAUCACAGAGGACAGAGACCCCAGGGCCCCAGCCCCUGGUGGGGGCGGGGAGUGCAAGGGGGCAGUCGUCUUUGUUCUCGACCAGCUCCCAGCUCCCUAGGGAGAAAUCAGGUGGGGAGCGGCCUCACUGCUGGCUCCUUGAUAGUGACUUGCUCCAGAGGUCCGUGCUGAUACCCCAGACCCCGCCCCACCAACACUUCAACUGGGACUGCGGCGUAUGCACAACUGCACAGCCUCCUCUGGCAGCUCCUUGAUGCUUCUGGGACGUUGACCCUCUCUCCUUUGCACCUCCACUCUUAGGAACUUGCAGCUCUCUGGGGUUAGUUCUCCUCUGUGCUGUCUGGGCUGCACCUCCUGCCCAGGAGGGGCCUCUCUGUGCUGCAGCCCUUACCAGCAUCUCAGGAUCUGCAGUCCUGAUACUUGGAGGUCUCCCCCCCACCCCCAGCUUGAGGGCUGGCUUCCUUUCGGUGGUCUUCAAAUCAACUCACACUCGGCCGUUGGAGAAGCCUAUGUGUCUGGCCAGGCAGGCUCCAUGGAUGUGGCCAGUGUCUUUGUGGACGGUGGGAACCAGCUUUGAAACCCUGGCCGCCCGGACCUCCGAAGCC